AUGAACGCUGGCGGCGUGCCUAACACAUGCAAGUCGAGCGAUUACUUCAGUAAAGAGCGGCGGACGGGUGAGUAACGCGUGGGUAACCUGCCUCAUACACAUGGAUAACAUACCGAAAGGUAUGCUAAUACAGGAUAAUAUAAGAGAUUCACAUGGAUUUCUUAUCAAAGCUCCGGCGGUAUGAGAUGGACCCGCGUCUGAUUAGCUAGUUGGUAAGGUAAUGGCUUACCAAGGCGACGAUCAGUAGCCGACCUGAGAGGGUGAUCGGCCACAUUGGAACUGAGACACGGUCCAAACUCCUACGGGAGGCAGCAGUGGGGAAUAUUGCACAAUGGGCGAAAGCCUGAUGCAAGCAACGCCGCGUGAGUGAUGAAGGCCUUCGGGUCGUAAAACUCUGUCCUCAAGGAAGAUAAUGACGGUACUUGAGGAGGAAGCCCCGGCUAACUACGUGCCAGCAGCAGC
rnacentral:rRNA from 1 species